CCCUUAGAUGUUCUGGGCCGCACGCGCGCUACACUGACGAAUGCAACGAGCUUAUAACCUUGGCCGAAAGGUCUGGGUAAUCUCCAAAUUUCGUCGUGAUGGGGAUAGAUUAUUGCAAUUAUUAAUCUUCAACGAGGAAUGCCUAGUAAGCGCAAGUCAUCAGCUUGCGUUGAUUACGUCCCUGCCCUUUGUACACACCGCCCGUCGCUCCUACCGAUUGAAUGGUCCGGUGAAGCGUUCGGACCGUGGCCUUUUGACGGUUUUCCGUCGAUUGGCUGUGGGAAGUUCGUUAAACCUUAUCAUUUAGAGGAAGGAGAAGUCGUAACA
rnacentral:rRNA from 1 species